rnacentral:rRNA from 1 species
AGAGUUUGAUCCUGGCUCAGAUUGAACGCUGGCGGCAGGCCUAACACAUGCAAGUCGAGCGGUAGCACAGAGAGCUUGCUCUCGGGUGACGAGCGGCGGACGGGUGAGUAAUGUCUGGGAAACUGCCUGAUGGAGGGGGAUAACUACUGGAAACGGUAGCUAAUACCGCAUAACGUCGCAAGACCAAAGAGGGGGACCUUCGGGCCUCUUGCCAUCAGAUGUGCCCAGAUGGGAUUAGCUAGUAGGUGGGGUAAUGGCUCACCUAGGCGACGAUCCCUAGCUGGUCUGAGAGGAUGACCAGCCACACUGGAACUGAGACACGGUCCAGACUCCUACGGGAGGCAGCAGUGGGGAAUAUUGCACAAUGGGCGCAAGCCUGAUGCAGCCAUGCCGCGUGUAUGAAGAAGGCCUUCGGGUUGUAAAGUACUUUCAGCGGGGAGGAAGGUGUUGCGGUUAAUAACCGCAGCAAUUGACGUUACCCGCAGAAGAAGCACCGGCUAACUCCGUGCCAGCAGCCGCGGUAAUACGGAGGGUGCAAGCGUUAAUCGGAAUUACUGGGCGUAAAGCGCACGCAGGCGGUCUGUCAAGUCGGAUGUGAAAUCCCCGGGCUCAACCUGGGAACUGCAUUCGAAACUGGCAGGCUAGAGUCUUGUAGAGGGGGGUAGAAUUCCAGGUGUAGCGGUGAAAUGCGUAGAGAUCUGGAGGAAUACCGGUGGCGAAGGCGGCCCCCUGGACAAAGACUGACGCUCAGGUGCGAAAGCGUGGGGAGCAAACAGGAUUAGAUACCCUGGUAGUCCACGCCGUAAACGAUGUCGACUUGGAGGUUGUGCCCUUGAGGCGUGGCUUCCGGAGCUAACGCGUUAAGUCGACCGCCUGGGGAGUACGGCCGCAAGGUUAAAACUCAAAUGAAUUGACGGGGGCCCGCACAAGCGGUGGAGCAUGUGGUUUAAUUCGAUGCAACGCGAAGAACCUUACCUACUCUUGACAUCCAGAGAACUUUCCAGAGAUGGAUUGGUGCCUUCGGGAACUCUGAGACAGGUGCUGCAUGGCUGUCGUCAGCUCGUGUUGUGAAAUGUUGGGUUAAGUCCCGCAACGAGCGCAACCCUUAUCCUUUGUUGCCAGCGGUCCGGCCGGGAACUCAAAGGAGACUGCCAGUGAUAAACUGGAGGAAGGUGGGGAUGACGUCAAGUCAUCAUGGCCCUUACGAGUAGGGCUACACACGUGCUACAAUGGCGCAUACAAAGAGAAGCGAACUCGCGAGAGCAAGCGGACCUCAUAAAGUGCGUCGUAGUCCGGAUUGGAGUCUGCAACUCGACUCCAUGAAGUCGGAAUCGCUAGUAAUCGUAGAUCAGAAUGCUACGGUGAAUACGUUCCCGGGCCUUGUACACACCGCCCGUCACACCAUGGGAGUGGGUUUUACCAGAAGUAGUUAGCCUAACCGUAAGGGGGGCGAUUACCACGGUAGGAUUCAUGACUGGGGUGAAGUCGUAACAAGGUAAC